UGUAGUUCAGUAGCAGAGCACCAUGCUUAGCAUGCAUGAGGACCUGGGUUCAAUCCCCAGUA
rnacentral:tRNA from 1 species